GUUCUGCGAAAUAAGAAGAGCGUUAUAAUGACGAUCUAAAUAGUAUAUCAGGAUUCUAAUGGAUAAUUAAUGCAUCGUCAAACAAACACAACCGUAAUGACUAUCGAUUAUUAUCAAAUCUGUAAAUUAUAUUUUUAGACAAAUGUAUUAUAAAAUUGAAAAAAAAAUGUCAUAACCUAGGAUAGUAAAUUUGAUAAUGAAAAUUGAUCGAUACUUUCUUUUUUUAAUAUGACAUUUUGAAAGAAUUCUGAAAACAGACAAAAAAUUGCUCACUUUACUAACUCUCAUCAGAUUAUGAGUCAUCCAGGUAAGAUUUGACGAGGGUUUUGUAUCUUUUCAAAAAUUCGUAGUGCGUUCGAAGUGAGUAAUUUUAAAGGAGUGAAUACAAUUGAUCUCUAUCUUUGUCUCCCGACUGACCAAAGACCCACCUGAAAAUUGAAAUGUCUUGAAAAUGGAUCACUCGUUGUCAGUUUGGAAGUGGACUAUUAAUAGCUACAAGCGCUUCGACCUUCGGGAAAAGGAUGAGCCUUACAUGAUGAAUGACGUUCAAGGAAUGACAAGUAAAUGUAAUAUCUUUCACGUGGAAAAAUAUAAUACUUUAUCAUAUAACUUUAAUUUAACUCGAUAAUGCAUUUUUUUUUUAAAUUUAUAAAUAUGAAAUUAAAACUUGAUAAAAAUUGUUCUAAAAAAUACUUUAAAUAUUAAAACGUAAAUGUUUAAUAAUUAUAUAACUUUUUUUAUUCAAGAAUAUAUUUUGCGUUAGCCUAAAAGAUACAAUUCUAAAACAACCCUUAAAUCAUAAAAGCACUUCUUAAUAGACUUAUUUAAAAGUGAUUUCUGUGCAGAUUUAUCGUCUCAAGUGCCCGAAGAACAUCCAAUUGAAACGUCCAAGAGCGAGGGAUGGAUAGUUGUCACUCAUACGAGGUAGGUCCGGCCGAGCCUAAAGUUGCCAUUUUGAAUUCCUCCGUGGUCAAUCUCGGGGCCGAGUUUGAGGAAUCGUAGGCGGAGAUGAAGGCUUCACGCGGCGCGGUGGAACGAGAGAUCGGAGCUACUCGCUGGUAGGAUGGAUGCCAUCGUACGUUGGUACAGGCGCAGAGGAACCGUGCAGUACGCCGACCUGUACCCCGUACAUGGAUACACCCUAUUCUGACUGGUGGAUAAACGCGACGCCAUUUACGCGCUCAUCGUUCUUCAUGCUGGACUUACAUGCUGACCUCACUCGGUUUUUCCAAAGGCCUCCGGCGAAAUCCGACGGAUGGUGCAUUAGCUCGCUCGGACCAGCCUAAUGACGCCACCACAUCCCCAUAGGGAACCUUCGUUCGCUUGUGAUUUCUUCCUCUCUUCUUUCUGUUACACCAGUUCGGCCACGAGCGAUCCAUCACCAGGUGAAAAAAGUCUCUUUAUAUCGUGCUAGUAGAGAUGCCGCUUGCUUCUUUCUACGUUGUCAUCUAUUACCGGUACUUUCUUCGGCUUCUUCUCGUAUUCGAAACUUUAUAACGCGUGUUUUAAAACAAAUUAUCGUUAAAAGUUAUAUAUUUUAGAUGCUAUGUAAUUACUUAUUUAGAUAAUAUGGAUGCAAUCAAAAUUCUAACGAAAUAUCGUUUUUAUAUACAAUUUUACCAAUAAUGUGUGAAAUAUGUAUCCAAAAUUGAUUAAAAAAUAAUAAAUUAAAGUCAAGAAAAAGGACUGCGUUUGUAAAAUCGAAAAUAAAAGGCAAUAACAGAACAUUUCUCAUGUAUAAGGCAAAUACACAUGAAGUUAUCAACA
rnacentral:lncRNA from 1 species